AUUGAACGCUGGCGGCAUGCUUUACACAUGCAAGUCGAACGGCAGCGCGGGCUUCGGCCUGGCGGCGAGUGGCGAACGGGUGAGUAAUACAUCGGAACGUGCCCAGUAGUGGGGGAUAGCUCGGCGAAAGCCGGAUUAAUACCGCAUACGACCUGAGGGUGAAAGCGGGGGAUCUUCGGACCUCGCGCUAUUGGAGCGGCUGAUGGCAGAUUAGCUAGUUGGUGGGGUAAAGGCCUACCAAGGCGACGAUCUGUAGCUGGUCUGAGAGGACGACCAGCCACACUGGGACUGAGACACGGACCAGACUCCUACGGGAGGCAGCAGUGGGGAAUUUUGGACAAUGGGCGAAAGCCUGAUCCAGCAAUGCCGCGUGUGUGAUGAAGGCCUUCGGGUUGUAAAGCACUUUUGGCGGGAACGAAAAGGACUGUGCCAAUACCACGGUUCGAUGACGGUACCCGCAGAAUAAGCACCGGCUAACUACGUG
rnacentral:rRNA from 1 species